rnacentral:rRNA from 1 species
UUAGAGUUUGAUCCUGGCUCAGGAUGAACGCUAGCGGGAGGCCUAACACAUGCAAGCCGAGCGGUAGAGAUCUUUCGGGAUCUUGAGAGCGGCGUACGGGUGCGGAACACGUGUGCAACCUGCCUUUAUCUGGGGGAUAGCCUUUCGAAAGGAAGAUUAAUACCCCAUAAUAUACUGGAUGGCAUCAUUCGGUAUUGAAAACUCCGGUGGAUAGAGAUGGGCACGCGCAAGAUUAGAUAGUUGGUGAGGUAACGGCUCACCAAGUCUGCGAUCUUUAGGGGGCCUGAGAGGGUGAUCCCCCACACUGGUACUGAGACACGGACCAGACUCCUACGGGAGGCAGCAGUGAGGAAUAUUGGACAAUGGGUGAGAGCCUGAUCCAGCCAUCCCGCGUGAAGGACGACGGCCCUAUGGGUUGUAAACUUCUUUUGUAUAGGGAUAAACCUACCCUCGUGAGGGUAGCUGAAGGUACUAUACGAAUAAGCACCGGCUAACUCCGUGCCAGCAGCCGCGGUAAUACGGAGGGUGCAAGCGUUAUCCGGAUUUAUUGGGUUUAAAGGGUCCGUAGGCGGAUCUGUAAGUCAGUGGUGAAAUCUCACAGCUUAACUGUGAAACUGCCAUUGAUACUGCAGGUCUUGAGUGUUGUUGAAGUAGCUGGAAUAAGUAGUGUAGCGGUGAAAUGCAUAGAUAUUACUUAGAAACACCAAUUGCGAAGGCAGGUUACUAAGCAACAACUGACGCUGAUUG